rnacentral:rRNA from 1 species
UUGAACGCUGGCGGCAGGCCUAACCCAUGCAAGUCGCGCGGAUGAAGGGAGCUUGCUCCUGGAUUCAGCGGCGGACGGGUGAGUAAUGCCUAGGAAUCUGCCUGGUAGUGGGGGAUAACGUCCGGAAACGGGCGCUAAUACCGCAUACGUCCUGAGGGAGAAAGUGGGGGAUCUUCGGACCUCACGCUAUCAGAUGAGCCUAGGUCGGAUUAGCUAGUUGGUGGGGUAAAGGCCUACCAAGGCGACGAUCCGUAACUGGUCUGAGAGGAUGAUCAGUCACACUGGAACUGAGACACGGUCCAGACUCCUACGGGAGGCAGCAGUGGGGAAUAUUGGACAAUGGGCGAAAGCCUGAUCCAGCCAUGCCGCGUGUGUGAAGAAGGUCUUCGGAUUGUAAAGCACUUUAAGUUGGCAGGAAGGGCAGUAAGUUAAUACCUUGCUGUUUUGACGUUACCAACAGAAUAAGCACCGGCUAACUUCGUG